GGAUGUGAGGGCGAUCUGGCUGUGACAUCUGUCACCCCAUUGAUCGCCAGGGUUGAUUCGGCUGAUCUGGUUGGCUAGGCAGGCGUCCCCUUCCUCCCUCACAGCUCCAUGUGCGUCCCUCCUGUCCCUCCCGAAGUUGUGUGCUUGGUCGAAGAGGACCGCCUUCCCCGAAUAGAGACAAACCGGUCUUCCAUCUAGGUUAUACAAGUAGUUGCGUUCCCCUGCUAGAACCUCCAAACAAGCUCUCAAGGUUCAUUUGAAUAAGAGAAAACCAUAAGGAAUUCAUGUUUGCAUAUUUCCACUCCACUUUGGAAAAAAUAGCCAAAGU
rfam:Erinaceus europaeus unplaced genomic scaffold scaffold00143, whole genome shotgun sequence